rnacentral:lncRNA from 1 species
AUUAAUUUAUUGUACGAAAAAAAGAAAACAUUGCAGGAAGAAACGACACGAGCAGCCAUCGUGCGGCGUGGCGCGGCGCAGCGUUGUGGCAGCGCAGUGCUGCACCAGGAGGAUGCGUACUCAUCUUCACGCUGAUCAGCUCAACAUUGGCAGCGUUGCUUUGCUCGGCUCGUUCUCGAUCAGCACCAGCCAGCACGGCAUAUAACGGCAGUCAGUAGCUCGGUUCAGCUCGGUUUCGCCGUUUCACGUCAGUUGUGCGCGCGUCGUAAAAUUCAUAAGGAGGAUGUACAGGACAUAGAGUACAAUAGAGCCGCAAAGUACUGGAGCGCCGAUGAAGCCAAUCCAUGAAUGGGCCUUUCCGAGCCCCGUGUGCUCCGAAAGUGUGAACCAAGUGUGAACCCGACGGCAUUUUGUAACACGGCGACUUAUGAGAGAAUCGCGGACUGAGGUUGGUUUUUCGACAUUUUACAAUUCAAUCAGCAUUAAUUUUUGCAAAUUUUCCUAUUAAAAGGUAGUCAAAGCCAUAAUGAAUCCAUUGAUGUAUAUUACUCCUGGAUAAUAUUUAUAUAGGGAUUUAAUUUCUGACUUAUACCAAGGUGUGAACCAACCGGCAUUACUUAUCACGGCGGCUUACGGUAAAAGCAACGACUGCCUGUGUUUUUUCGACGUUUUUUAAUUCAAUCGAUAUUAAUUUGUGCAAAUUUUGCUAUAAUUAGAUAGCCAAAGCCAUAAUGAUCCAUUGAUGUAUAUUACUCCUGGAUAAAAUUCAUAUAGGAAUUUAAUUUCUGAUUUACAGCAAGUGUGAACCAACCGGCAUUUUUUACACGGUGGCUUAUGGAGAUAUCAACGACUGCUUGUGUUUAUUCGACUUUUUUAAUUCCAUCGGUAUUAAUUUGUGCAAAUUUUUCUUGAAAUAGAUAUUCAAAGCCAUAAUGAAUCCAUUAAUGUAUGUUACUCCCAGAUAAUAUUCAUAUAUGGACUCAAUUUCAGACUUAUUACCGGCCUACUUAUUUUGGCUGGUUGAGUGUGUGUCUAGUCGACG